rnacentral:misc_RNA from 1 species
GCCCUCCUCCUCUGCGAAGAGACGCCUGGCGAGUAGCGCGUGCUCCUCUCGCUCUCUGCACGCGCUGGCUGGUUGGCGGCCGGCUGUCCGAGCGAAAUGAAGGCUCGACGGUACCUGCAAGUGACGCCGAAUAGGGCAUAGGUCCCGUAUUGAUUCUCAGCGAUGCUCGCACAAUAAUGAUUGUUCUUGAUAUCCGUGAGAUAACGCCAGGAAGUUGUCGUCUGCUCGGGAGGUGCAGACUUUCGCUGAACAUGCUUGGAGGACUCCCGUCAGCUGGGUGUGCACUAACCCCGAGCUUCAAAGACAAGAAGGCUGCUUCCGCUAAUGAACCGUUUUAACGCUAUUUCUAAUGACUUUAGUGAGAGACACUCACGUGCGGAACUUGUGCGAUGGACGCUGGGUCUCAUUCACCACGGGAUAGUUUAGACCUAUGUACUUAACACCUAGUUUGAUCGACACAUGACCUGUUGUGUACCAAGUGGUCUUUAAACAACCAUAUCGAACCGACGCGACUGGUAAACUUCCAAAAUGUGAUCAACGUCGAUUAAGGGGCGACCUUCAUGAUUGACUUAAAACGUCCACUUCGGAACCAGAAACCGGGGAUGGUGCCAUGCCGUCACCAAUACUGAUGAUAUGGGCUCUACUGUCAGUUUUAGUUGCGGGUACAUGUACUUUCAGUUUUCUUCAACCAUUCUGGUUCAUCCACUUGGACUACACCCACUCCUUCGGGCUCAUCAGCUACUGCUUCGGAAACACCCGGUUCGCUUACUCUAGGGAGACUUGCCUCGCCUAUGGGGGUAAUUUCAACCUGGGGAGCAUCCCCUCAGGGGCGUGGCAGGCCUCAUGUGUGUUGUACGGAGGGGGGUGCGGACUGCUGUGUCUUGGGGCAUUUAUUGCAAUAUGUGUGGCCAUCAUUCCAGCUGACUAUAGAAAGAAGCCGACCCGACUGGCAGGCUACACGCAAACGGUAGCAGUAUUAAUAAUGAUAGCUGGGCUCCUGAUCUACCCACUGGGACUGGGCUCCAAGUCCUUCCGCGAGUACUGCGGCAACAUGUCUUCCGCCUACUACUCAGGCCAGUGUCUGAUUGGCUGGAGCUACAUGCUGGGAAUCAUGGGAACUGCUCUCGCUAUAUUCUGUCCAUUCUUGUCACAAUUCACAGACAUGAAAGCAAGUGAAAUUUUCGCCUGAAAUCAAGGGAUACAAACAAUGUGUUCCUCCUGAUGAGUCAACUUAGAGCAGUCAGGGGAUGUGACAUAUUCCAAGCUGGGUCACAACAACGGUGAGAUCAGAAGCCACAUGAUAAAAAACUGCACUCACUCCAUGAUGGCUCGACCGUGAUUCCCAGCUUUGAAUAGAAUCAUUUCAUUAUUCAGUUCUAUUCCGGAUGUGUAGAACGUUAUAUCCUAAUGGGAUGGUGGUUUGGGAUCACAUGACCCUCAUUGUCUUCCAUUCGAUGAAUAUGCUUUUUAUCAAAGACUCAACGUUUUCAAUGUCUUCUCGUUGGACACCUAAUGCAAGCACGCUGUCCCGACAAGCAUUCGUCCCGACAAAGCGGGAUGUGAAUUUUAAACUCUCCUUAGAGGUGUAUGAAACCGAGGAACGCAAUAUUAAAGUGAAACCUUUGAUAAAGACGACAUCUGCAUCUUGAAUAUUGAUGCCAUCAGUUUUCAUGGCGGACAGAAGAGCUUUAUGUGGAAAGCUUCAAAGCAGGACGUCGUCCAAACUACAUCCACUGAUCAAUUUCCAUGGCAGACAGAUUCACGAAGCUGGCAUUGAAACGCUUGAAUAAUCAAUGACCUUGACACAUAGUUUAAAGAUGCAUGGCGUGUCGAAAUCUCAUCACAGGGUUUGUUGCUAGCAGUGUUGUGAG